GAAAAUUUGUAGCAUUGACCGAUUCACUAUUUGAGUUUGUGAUUUGUUUUUAUCACAGAAAUAGUUAAAGGUGACAUUAGUACAUUUAACGUGUAUUGAACGGAUCAUAUGUUGAUUUUAAUUAGGACUGUGCGGUAAAUAUCAUUAAUUAAUUGAAAUCCAAUUUUACACAAGAAAGUGGGCUGCUCUAAUUAAUUUCACCAAGUUUAAUUGGGCCUCAUAAUUAUAGAUAAAAGGGCCGCCCGGGAGAAGGAAUAGAGACAUACAAUUGCCAGCAUGCUGGGAUUUUAUUGGAGAUAUAGAUACAACUACAAGUGGCUGGCGGCAGGGAAGAAUCAGAGAACAAUUGGAAUUUCGGUCACUUGGGAAUUCUAAUCACACAAAAACAAAGGCUGGCUGCUGGAUUAAAAACAUAUAGAGACAGCUGCCUUUAGCAAAGGAGGACAGAAAGAACCAUAGAAAUAGUCGGCGGGAAGAGGAGAAAAAGAGGGCUGCCAAUUGGUUGAAAUUAUGUAUACAAUUACGUGAUUUGCCGGCUGCUUGGGAUAUAUUAUAUACAUCAAUAGGUGGCCAGUUAGGGAGGAACCCAUAGAAAAGACGGCUGCUUUGAAGGAAACAGCCAUACAAAAAGCAGCAGCUGCUGGGGAAAUUGAGAGUAGAAUUGCCGGGAAUUUUUAUAUACCCACAACAGAAACCGAGGCAGACAGAAGGUAGAGAAAGAGAAGAAAGUGAGGGCUGCUUGGUGGAAGCUGGAAUUGAACUUCUCAAACAAUACAGGUGGCGGCUGUUGGAAGAAAAACAAGAAAAGUUGGCAGCUUUGAAGAAUUGGGUGGCUGCAAGACACAUAUACACGCAACACAAGGCUGGAGUUGAGAAAAAAAAUAAAUACACAGAGAAGACGCGCGGAAGAAGACGGCAGAGCGACAGAAAACGCACACGAGACCGUGGAAGACGAUACAAAUUAUGUAACGCACACGAGACCGUGGAAGACGAUACAAAUUAUGUUCCAUCAAUUUCUCGAUGAUGCCUUUUCACUUUUCGUUUUUUAAUUCUAACGUUAUGCAAGGCUAAUUCUUAUGAAGAUGAAACUCUUUAUUAUUAAUUUUUAAUUCGAGACACGUGGUUUAGUUAAUUUUUUACAAUUCUUGAUUAAUCUGGAAUGCUUAAUUUUAGGGAAAAUUACAACAGAAGCCCCAAACAUUUGAUUUGUUGCAGUCGUC
rnacentral:lncRNA from 1 species